rnacentral:rRNA from 1 species
AUUGAACGCUGGCGGCAGGCCUAACACAUGCAAGUCGAACGGUAGCACAGGAGAGCUUGCUCUUCGGGUGACGAGUGGCGGACGGGUGAGUAAUGCAUGGGGAGCUGCCCAAUCGAGGGGGAUACCAGCUGGAAACGGCUGCUAAUACCGCAUACGCCCUGAGGGGGAAAGUGGGGACCUUCGGGCCUACCGCGAUUGGAUGCACCCAUGUGGGAUUAGCUAGUUGGUGAGGUAACGGCUCACCAAGGCGACGAUCUCUAGCUGGUCUGAGAGGAUGACCAGCCACACUGGAACUGAGACACGGUCCAGACUCCUACGGGAGGCAGCAGUGGGGAAUAUUGCACAAUGGGGGAAACCCUGAUGCAGCCAUGCCGCGUGUGUGAAGAAGGCC